GCGCCGGGAGACGAGCGAGGAGGACUCGACAAAGAUGAGCGAGUGGAGGCAGACAUGGUUGUUGUGAUAUAUUUGAGGAGUCGCUCUCCCUCUGUUUUAUAUGUGGACAUUUGGGACCACUGUUAGAAUUUGGUUGACCACUUGACAUGUGAGAGCCUGAGGAGUUGUUCGCCCUCUGUCCAUGUUCGAGGACUUGCUCUCUGUCUGCCUCCACUCUCUGCCUUCACUGUACCAAAGUUUGUCUGUUGAGUCUCCUCUAGUCUGGUUGACCACUUGACAUGUGAGAGCCUGAGGAGUUGUUUUCCAGACACAGGUAGACCUGGCAGGGGCGUCACCCUGGGCCUGCCCUUUUGGGCUGGGCUUCAGCUGCAGAUCUAAAGGCUGCUUCCAGGGGCAUGGGGCCCUCAGCCUUUGUUUUUCUUUGCUUCUGCACCUUACAACAUACAUCACACCUUAUUUUCACACAUCCA